AUACAUGUCUGGCAGAGGAGGGAGGAUAGCAUGAACCUGAAAGUGGUUUUCCCAGGGCGUCUCCACUGCACCCAAAGGUGUGCUGACUGCUGGAAUUUCUCCUAAUAUGGGAAACUUGACUGAAUAAUUUAUGCUAGUGAGAAAAAGCAUGAAUACAGUCUCCCU
ensembl:snRNA Gm26312 predicted gene, 26312